AAACCGUUAUAUGACUGACGGAUAAGUGGAAAAACCACAUGAAGUAUAACGAAAACGAGCCGACCGUCUGGGCGAUGAAC
rnacentral:ncRNA from 2 species